GAAGGUGUACUGUGAGGUAUGCUGGAGGUAUCAGAAGUGCGAAUGCUGACAUAAGUAACGAUAAUGCGGGUGAAAAACCCGCACGCCGGAAGACCAAGGGUUCCUGUCCAACGUUAAUCGGGGCAGGGUGAGUCGACCCCUAAGGCGAGGCUGAAAAGCGUAGUCGAUGGGAAACGGGUUAAUAUUCCCGUACUGGUGGUAACUGCGAUGGGGGAACGGAGAAGGCUAGGUUGUCCGGGCGACGGUCGUCCCGGUUCAAGCAUGUAGGCAGAGUGAUUAGGCAAAUCCGGUCACUUAAUGCUGAGGUGUGAUGACGAACCACUAAGGUGGUGAAGCAAUUGAUGCCCUGCUUCCAGGAAAAGCCUCUAAGCUUCAGGUUACCAACAAUCGUACCCCAAACCGACACAGGUGGUCAGGUAGAGAAUACUCAGGCGCUUGAGAGAACUCGGGUGAAGGAACUAGGCAAAAUGGUGCCGUAACUUCGGGAGAAGGCACGCUGGCGGUAAGUGAAGUCCCUCGCGGACGGAGCCGAAGCCAGUCGAAGAUACCAGCUGGCUGCAACUGUUUAUUAAAAACACAGCACUGUGCAAACACGAAAGUGGACGUAUACGGUGUGACGCCUGCCCGGUGCUGGAAGGUUAAUUGAUGGGGUUAUCCUUAGGGAGAAGCUCUUGAUCGAAGCCCCAGUAAACGGCGGCCGUAACUAUAACGGUCCUAAGGUAGCGAAAUUCCUUGUCGGGUAAGUUCCGACCUGCACGAAUGGCGUAAUGAUGGCCAGGCUGUCUCCACCCGAGACUCAGUGAAAUUGAACUCGCUGUGAAGAUGCAGUGUACCCGCGGCAAGACGGANUCCACCCGAGACUCAGUGAAAUUGAACUCGCUGUGAAGAUGCAGUGUACCCGCGGCAAGACGGAAAGACCCCGUGAACCUUUACUAUAGCUUGACACUGAACAUUGAGCCUUGAUGUGUAGGAUAGGUGGGAGACUAUGAAGUGUGGACGCCAGUCUGCAUGGAGUCAACCUUGAAAUACCACCCUUUAACGUUUGAUGUUCUAACCUAGGCCCGUAAUCCGGGUCGGGGACCGUGUCUGGUGGGUAGUUUGACUGGGGCGGUCUCCUCCUAAAGAGUAACGGAGGAGCACGAAGGUUGGCUAAGCAUGGUCGGACAUCAUGCGGUUAGUGCAAAGGCAUAAGCCAGCUUGACUGUGAGAGUGACGGCUCGAGCAGGUACGAAAGUAGGUCUUAGUGAUCCGGUGGUUCUGAAUGGAAGGGCCAUCGCUCAACGGAUAAAAGGUACUCCGGGGAUAACAGGCUGAUACCGCCCAAGAGUUCAUAUCGACGGCGGUGUUUGGCACCUCGAUGUCGGCUCAUCACAUCCUGGGGCUGAAGUAGGUCCCAAGGGUAUGGCUGUUCGCCAUUUAAAGUGGUACGCGAGCUGGGUUUAGAACGUCGUGAGACAGUUCGGUCCCUAUCUGCCGUGGGCGUUGGAAGAUUGAGAGGGGUUGCUCCUAGUACGAGAGGACCGGAGUGAACGCACCACUGGUGUUCGGGUUGUCAUGCCAAUGGCAUUGCCCGGUAGCUAAGUGCGGAAGAGAUAACCGCUGAAAGCAUCUAAGCGGGAAACUUGCCUCGAGAUGAGUCUUCCCUGUCACCU
rnacentral:rRNA from 1 species